UGGAGCCCCUCCUUCCUACGCCACUGUAUAUGCACCUGUCCCACUGCCUACCAGAUGACUGGACUGACAGUGAGGACUUGUACUGCUUCUGGAUGGAGCGCUGGAGAUUCCUGUCUGCACUGUUAUCUGUCCUGACUGAGCUCACCCUCAUCAAUGGUAGUCUCGAAUUCCAGCCUAUACAAAGUUGGGGAGGGCGUGGCUAGACUACAUCAAUGGAGCGAUCAGCUACAAUCCAGUUACCACCCCUAUACUGCAGGGAGCCGUAGCUACACACAGCUGUAUUGUCACUGGGUACCAAUUGUUCUCAUCCAUUACCAUGGACUAUAGGACCUGUCAGUCUGACAGACAUGGAGUGGAGAGGACAUCACUUGUAAACUUGUUAAUUGUGGCUCAUUGAAUAUUCCUAACAAUGGAGGAAUCAUGACAACAGAAGGGACUACCUACCAAAGCACUGCUAUACCUACAGCUGUAACCCUGGCUACACACUGAGUAGAGAUCAGACCAGGAUUUGUCAGGCUAGUGGAGACUGGAGUGGGUCUUGUAAUCGUGAGUACAUGGUUUAACCAUAGAUAAAAGAGAGAGGGAUUGGAGACGGAAGUGGUGCACUGGACCAUUUAACAUUAGUUCUACACAGAGGCCUCGAAAACUAUCUGCUUUUCGUCCUAUUUUUGCCGGGCUGGUCUGCUGAGUCGUAUCCAGGAGACAUUCAACUGCAUCGUGUGUCAGGAGGUGGUCUACCACCCCGUCACUACCACCUGCAGCCACAACAUCUGUAAGGUGGGGAACC